rnacentral:rRNA from 1 species
AUUGAACGCUGGCGGCAGGCCUAACACAUGCAAGUCGAACGAGUGGCGGACGGGUGAGUAAUGUCUGGGAAACUGCCCGAUGGAGGGGGAUAACUACUGGAAACGGUAGCUAAUACCGCAUACCAUCGGAUGUGCCCAGAUGGGAUUAGCUAGUAGGUGGGGUAACGGCUCACCUAGGCGACGAUCCCUAGCUGGUCUGAGCGGAUGACCAGCCACACUGGAACUGAGACACGAGCUAGACUCCUACGGGAGGUAGCAGGGGGGAAUAUUGCACAAUAGGCGCAAGCCUGAUGCAGCCAUGCCGCAUGUAUGAUGAACGCCCUCGGGUUGUAAAGUACUUUAAGCGAGGAGGCGUUACUCGCAGAAGAAGCACCGGCUAACUCCGAGCCAGCAGCCGCGGUAAUAC